AAAUGUAGAAGUAUGUUUAUUUAAUGUGGGUUUGUCCUUCAAUCACGUCGCAACGGAGCAACGGAUAGACGUAAUUUUUUGGAUGGUUAUAGUUACUUGGACAGUCACAUAGGCUACUUU